GACGAACGCUGGCGGCGUGCUUAACACAUGCAAGUCGAACGGAAAGGCCCUGCUUUUGUGGGGUGCCCGAGUGGCGAACGGGUGAGUAACACGUGAGUAACCUGCCCUUGACUUUGGGAUAACUUCAGGAAACUGGGGCUAAUACCGGAUAGGAGCUCCUGCUGCAUGGUGGGGGUUGGAAAGUUUCGGCGGUUGGGGAUGGACCCGCGGCUUAUCAGCUUGUUGGUGGGGUAGUGGCUUACCAAGGCUUUGACGGGUAGCCGGCCUGAGAGGGUGACCGGCCACAUUGGGACUGAGAUACGGCCCAGACUCCUACGGGAGGCAGCAGUGGGGAAUAUUGCACAAUGGGCGGAAGCCUGAUGCAGCAACGCCGCGUGCGGGAUGACGGCCUUCGGGUUGUAAACCGCUUUCGCCUGUGACGAAGCGUGAGUGACGGUAAUGGGUAAAGAAGCACCAGCUAACUACGUG
rnacentral:rRNA from 1 species